UCGGUUACUGGCCAGCCAAUGGGUUGUCUAGCUUUGGAUCAGGUGACCAUGACUGAUCCAAUCGGGUGUCCAGUUGGUCCAGGGCCCGCGUCCCGAGGAGGGGAGUGUGGGCGGGCAGGUGGGUAAAUCACUUCCCUUAACCACAUCCCUGACGCCAACUCGCGCGUAAACUACAGAAACCUUACUCUAAGUCUCAGCCUGAGCCCUGCUGGUGUGGGGGAAUUGUAAGAUUCCAGAACUUGGUCACCUUUAAGACUCUUUCGAUCCUUUAGGAUCCAUUUUGGCGUCCAUCCCUCGUCUCUGACACGCCUGGCACACAUUGUGGUUAAGCACCAAAGCAAGAGCGCCUGGGUGGCUCAGUCGGUUAAGCAUCUGAAUUCGGCUCAGGUCAUGAUCUCAUGGCUGUCUGGAACACAAAUGCCGCCCUCUUGGACCACGAGGAGGGACCCUGGACGGAAGUGCGUCUGGCUGGGAGGAUCCUGUGUCCCUGAUGCUGCUCGACACUCUAACCAGGCCUGGCCUGGACUUUUCCAUCAGAAAGAAAUAAGCUCCGUUCUUCUUUAACAGAAGUUUAUGAGAGCACACCACGGGCCAGCCCUGUGUUAAAUGCUGGAGGCUUCCAGCAAAAGCCAGCUUGCUCGAGGGCUAUCGGUGCGCACGCUCUGGCUACAAGCUACAAUAGGAUUCAUCAUUUCACAGAUCAAGAAGUUGGAAGUGGGUUGGGCAGUGCUGAUAUAGCAGCUCAGUGAUGCGAGAAAGGACCUCGAUUUUCUCUAUCUGACCCGUCACCUUCAGUGCGUUGCCUCAUUUCCUAACCUUGUCCCCUCAUGUUGUCAAGAUAGGUGCCAUGUACCCCAGACCUCAUGUCCUUAAAAGACAGCAUCCCAAACGUGAAGUCGUGACUCAGCGGGUAAGAGCCUUUUUUUGGUGCAGCUCUUUAUCAGGUAUAAAAAUAUUUCCCCGAAGUUUCCACCUUCAGUUCCAUUGGCUAAGACUGGGCCAUGUGUCCGCACCUACACCAAUCGCGGGCAGAGAGAAAUAGGAUUGGCAUGCUUGGCUUUGAGUAACCAUGAUUUGUCCCUUGAGGCUGGAUAUAUUGCUGCCUAAACAAAAUCAAGUUUCCUCUAGGAAGCAAGUUGGAGAGAGUGGCUGUUUUGGGGGACAGUUCCUGCCACACUGGGGACAUGAUAUGAGCAAGGUUUCUGUGGCUGAAACGUGCAACGUGUAUCCAAGAAAGUGGCAAGCAGACCAGUGUGGUCAGAGGGGAGGAGGCACCUGAGAAGUGUUUCCCAGAGUGACUGUCAUGGGUGUUCCAUGAUGAUUAAAACAGGGUUCUUUGGCCAGGUGAGUCCAAGAAAGGCUGAGUUGCACAACAUUCCACAGUUUGUGUUCCUGUCACUGUUACAGGCCUUCUGGGAGCCUUGAAAAAUGCUAAUAGUUACCAGGAAUUUCCAGGGACAGGAACGGAGGAGGCGGACUGUACGUCUUUCCCAAACUGGGUUGUCCACAGAAGGUUAUUUUCCUCAGAGCAUCUUCUGGCACUUUCGGUCAGGGAACUGGAAGCUUUGGGAACUGCUAAGAGACAGUGAGUACGGUGGUUCUCGACCAGGGUAAUGGUGUCCCCCAUGGGACAUUGGGCAAUGUCUGGAGACAUUCUGGAUUGUCUUUACUGCAGGAGGAGUUGAGGUGGGGGAGGCCAGAGAUGAUGCUGAACAUCCUACAAUGCACAGCACAGACACUGCCAGCCCCCCCCGCCCCCCCCCCCCGUCAACUUCCUCUGUCAAACAAAGAAUUAUCUGGUUCAAAAUGUCAAUAGUCCACACAAAAUGUGUGAAUGUUCACAGCAGCAUUAUUCAUUAUUCAAAAGUAGAAACUACCCAAAUGUCCAUCAACUGAUGAAUGGACAAACAAAACGUGGUCUAUCUCAACAAUGGAAUGUGGUUCAGCCAUUAAAAAGAAUGAGGUAUUGAUCCAUGCUACGAAAUGAAUGAACCUUGAAAACAUUAUGCUAAGUGAAAGAAGCCAGAUACAAAAACCACAUACUAUAUGAUUCCAUUGAUGUGAAGGGUCCAGAAUAGGCAAACUCACGGGGACAGAAAGUAGAUAGUGGUUGCCAGCAGCUGAGGGAGGGGGGGAUAGGAAGUGACCACUAAAGGGUGUGGGGUUUCUUUUUGGGUGAUGGAAAUGUUGUAAAAUUGUGUUCAGAGUUAUGCAACCCUGAAUGUACUAAAAAGCAUUGGAUUGUAGGCUUGAAUGGGUGAAUUGUAAGAUAUGAGAAUUAUAUAUCAAAAGAGCUGUUUUUUUUAAGUCAGUAGCGCCCAGAUUGACAGACCCUGAAAAUAGUAGGUAAUUAGAUCGACAGAAGAAAGUUGGGGAUCAAAUGAGGGGACCAUGAAGGGCAGGUUCAGAAGUCUGAACUUUAUUACCACCAAUGGGUGACAAGAUUAGUGGACUCAUCCCUGAAUAUAACCCAUAUGUCAAGACUCUUUGAGCACCUACUCUGUGCUGGGCAUUUUCAUGUACAUCACCCCGGGCAAACCUCAUGAUGAAUUUGUAGUUAGAUCUACCUCCCCUUGUAGAGAUGAGUAAGCUAGACUCAGAGAGGUUCGCUGACUUGACUGAGAGUGCACAGCUGGUAAAUUGUAGAGCUGGGGUCUGAACGCAUUUGGAUUUGCCCUUGACCCCAAAGGCUGUGUGCUGACUUUCAGUGAGGGUUGUGACCCAGGGGGUGGCAUGUGGGCCAUCUGCUUUGCCUCUCUCCUGCUGCAGCCCUGGUUGGAGCCUGUGGUCUUGGGGGCAUCCCAGGAGGCCCUCCCUGGAGUGCUGACGUUUCUCUCUUCUGGUCCCUCUGCCCAGGCUGCAGCUGGCAUCUGGAUGAGGGUUGGUUGCUUAGCAACGCAGUUGCGGAAUUUGCCCUGAGCCAAGGGAGCCGUCUCCUCAGUCUGGGCUAUGGGAACUUCAGGGAGAACAGCCGCAGGAGGGCCUGAGGGAGCUAGGACUGAGUGGGGAGGGCAAGGACAGCUAUGUCCCUGGGAGGGCCUAGAGAUGGGGACACUCCUUAAGGGAAGACCCAGCUUUAGGGGACGGUGAAAGAGAGCCAGGAGACUUGAGUCAAUCAUAACAACAUUAUUUUAACCACACCUACAUUUCUUGAGCACUACCUGCGUGCAAGGCACUGUGGUAAUUGCUUUACGUUCCACAAUCCUCCCCAAACACCAUGGAAUAUGUUACUGUUAUUACGUCCUCUUUGCAAAUGAGGAUCUGGGCCCACAGGGGUUAACUGACUUGUCAUGCAGCCAGAAAGUGGGGAAGCUGGGAUCUGAACCCAGGCCCCUCUGACACCCAGCUCAGCCCCCAAUACAGCCCUGGCUGGGAAGUUGGUGGAGAAAAUCCACCACGUGGCUCCCAAGGCCCUGUGUGGACUGCUCCGUGCUCCCUGUCACUCUGCUUCUUCCAGACACAUCAUCUUUGCCUCAUUUCCUCAAACACUCCAACCUCCUUCCAGCCACAGGGUCUUUGCACUUGCUGUUCCUUCUGCCUGGGAUGCUCUUCCUCUACUCUCUUCACUUGGUUUACUCUACUCACCCAUCUGGUCUCCAGUGGAACAUCACUUCAUUCAUCCAUUGAUCCAAACACAGCUAUUGAGUGCCUCCUGAUGCCAGGUAAACAUUAGUAAACAAAACAGACAUGAUCCCAGCCCUCUUGGAGCUUAUAAGCUCAUAGAAGAGACAAUAAAUGGACAAGUCAUAAUUGCAUGAGAAACAUUCCCUGACUCCCCAGACCUUUGACAAUAAUGAUUAAUUAUCAGUUAAUUGUAGAAUUAUUUAUUUAUUGCUGGUCUCCCUUCCUAGACUGUAGGUUCUGUGAGGCCAGGGAUUUUGAGGUUGCAUUGUGAGGAUCAGUAUUAUUAUCACCCCCAUUUUAUAGAUGAGGCACAGAGUUUAAGCAAUGUGCCCAA